rnacentral:piRNA from 1 species
UGGCUACCAACAGUUUAUGCCCUACC